CGUACUUGCCACCACCGUUCCUCUCACCCACGCUCACGCAUCCCUAUCGCCGGCGUUGCCAGGCAUCGUUCCUCUCACCAAUGAUCACGCAUCCAUGUCACCGUCCCUUGCAGGUUGCAGCCUGCAGUUUCGCCAUUGUAGAGAAGGUCUCGAUAGAGCUCUUCCCUCUCCGUAGCAAGCAAGAGGAGCGCAACAAGCUCGUCUUCCCUCUCCACAGUAAGCAAGGAGGAGCUCAAGGUAAUCGUAAAUUUUUUAUUUCUCAU